UUUAUUGAGAGUUUGAUCCUGGCUCAGGACGAACGCUGGCGGCGUGCCUAACACAUGCAAGUCGAGCGAGAGGAGUUCCUUCGGGAACAAAUCUAGCGGCGGACGGGUGAGUAACACGUGGGCAACCUGCCUUGUAGAGGGGAAUAGCCUUCCGAAAGGAAGAUUAAUACCGCAUAACAUUACAUUUUCGCAUGAAGAAGUAAUUAAAGGAGCAAUCCGCUACAAGAUGGGCCCGCGGCGCAUUAGCUAGUUGGUG
rnacentral:ncRNA from 1 species